rnacentral:lncRNA from 1 species
AAAGAGGCUGUAAAUGAUGAAAUGGAGUCGCUAAUUUCUAAUAAAACUUGGAAGUUGAUUGACUUACCACCAAGUUGUAAAAUAAUUGGGUGCAAAUGGGUCCUAAGAAAAAAAUAAAAACUGGAUGGAUUUGUUGAUAAGUAUAAAACUAGGUUAGUUGCUAAAGGUUUUAAGCAACUUGAAGUCCUAGAAUUUUUUGAUACUUUUUCUCCGUUAACUAGAAUUACAUCCAUUAGACUUUUAAUUCAAUUGCUGUAAUUAUUUGCAUAUUCAUCAAAUGGAUGUAAAAAUUAUUUUUUUAUAAUGGGGACCUAAAUAAAGAAAUUUAUAUGUAUCAACCCGAGGGUUUUACAGAAGCAGGCCAAGAAAGUAAAGUGUAUAAACUUACUAAAUCACUAUAUGGCUUGAAACAUGCACCUAAGCAAUGACAUGAAAUGUUUGAUUCCUGCAUGAUUGAAAAUUAUUUUAAAUCAAAUGAGUGUUGUCACACCUCCUUUUUCACUACUACACCCCCCGAAAAGGAAUAAUAAAUGGAGUUUUUCAAAUUUAAGUGACAAUCAAAUCGGAAUUCACUUUAAUUAAAUCAGAGUCGUCACUUGGAAGAUUUAUGGUGUCCCAAGUCACCGGUAUUAAUCUCGAAUUGAGGAAAAGAAUGACUCUGUUACUAUAGUCUGCGAAUCAAAAAUCCGGGUAAGGAAUUUUGUUAACCCGGAGAAAGGGUUAGGCAAUCCCGAGUUCCGUGGUUCUAGCACAAUCGUUUUGAUCCUACUUGGCGUGACUAAAUUGUUUAAGUAUUGAUAUUAGAACUUAUGUGCUUAUGCUUUAUACUGCUUUUAAUUAGACAAUUAUCUUGCCUGCCUGUUUGGCGCGUCAAAAUCAUGUCACACGAACGUGUCCACAAUUAAUAAGACUUAAUUAUUAUUAAGAAAAGUUUGGGCCGAAGUUGCACGAACACAUACUCCAGUUUUACUUUUAGAACCAUAAUUGUGUUACGCGAACGUAUACACAAUCACGAUAGUAUUUUAAAACGGACCUAAAAGAUAUUUUACGAAAUAUUAGUCAUUUUUGGUAUCUAGGUUAUACAGCUAAUACGAGGGCCACACAGUUGUGAUUCUAUUUGGCGUGAGGGAACUUCGAUUCCAGGAUAUUCAAAGCUAAAAUUCGAAGAGACAUAGACUAUUACUAUCUGUUAUGGCUCACCUCUAAUCUAAUUAGUGAAGUUAAUUAAUUGAUUAGGGGACAUCAGAAAUUCUCGAUCCAUCUUGAGGAAACCAGAAUAACAAAAUACAGAGCGGAGUAUCUGGCCAAGUCAUUAAAGGUCUUGGGCACGAGUUGAGCCCAAUCCUAUCCAAGAAAACGAACGUUAAAUAUGAACCUUAAAAACCCAAUUUGAAUCCUCGUGAAGCCCAAAUUUAUUCCAGCACAUAUAUUAGUUUUCACAUUUUAGUUCAAUUCAAAAUGCCAAUCAAUAGAUAACAACGAGGAGCACAGAAUUGGUUUUGCAAAUUAUAACUCUUGAUUUAAAAUGUCCAAACAUCUAUCCCCUAUACUCAGUUUUAAAUUUUAAGUAUUUCAUCGAGAAAUGAAUAGAUGAGCAUUUUGAUUACAUGUCUCUAAAUCACGUAAUUAUUUGAUCAUCAUGCAUACUAUCAAGUUUUAACUAGUUUCAAAAUAAAUCCAAACUUAAUGUCAAAGAUGACCAUUCUUGUUUAAAACGGAAUCUAGAUGAAUUGAUACAAACAUACAAGUCCAUACUUUGCCAUUCAAUGGAUUCAAAUGAAUGUCAAUACUAACACACACUAAUCUUCAAUAGAAACGAAGCAAAAUCUGUGACCCGGAACAGAAAAUCCAAAUAUAAAGUUGAAUAGUUGGAGUCCAUGGUUCAUUUGUCAUAAGAAACAUCUACAAAAACUUACUUGUACACCUUCUAAUCAUGUUGUUUAAUAUUGAAAUUGAGCAGUUAGUUACGAACAUAAACCCAACUUUAUAACGUGCAAAGAACAACUUAGUCAACACCUAUCAAUACAGACCUACUACACGACAUGAAACAAUAAAAGAAAAGAACUCAACUUCUUGUACUCCACCAAAUUCGUUGAAUUGCAUAGUCGGCACUUAGCCGUUGUUCAUUGAGCUAAAAGGAUACCUGGAAAGCAAAAUAAGAUAGAAGUGAGAAGAUUAGCAGCAAGCAGUCGCAAACAGCCCAGAUUUGUGGUCAAUCAAACAAUGAUCAGCUCCAUAAAACCAAUAGAAUAGUAGACAUAUCCCAAAAAUCGACUUUAAACCAAACUUAAACCAUUCGCCUCACCAAAUGCUCAAUUUCAGAAGUUGUCCAGGAACUCUAAACGGACAGAAUGAUUUAGAGAACUAGAAUAGGAAACCUAAACCCAUUCAAACAUCUUGCAACAUUUUUAGGUUUUGAGAAGGAAAUCAUUGAUUCUAAACUUCAGUAUUUCUUUCUAUAUUUUCAAAAACAAAAGCUCCUAAUUGUCUCUCAGAUUUUCAGGACCCUCCAAAUCUCUAGGCUCUCAAAUUUUCCAAACCCCCUUUUUUGUGUUUAUAUAUUUUUCCAAUUCCUCCAGUCUUAGAGUUUGCCUUGAAAGGAAAGUUUGUAAUGUCUUUAUAGGCAAAAAAAGUAGGGUAGCCUU